UUUCCGUAGGUGAACCUGCGGAAGGAUCAUUAAAGAGAUCAUGCCCUCACGGGUAGACCUCCCACCCUUUGUUUCCAAUACCUUUGUUGCUUUGGCGGGCCCGUUUGGCCCCGCGCUGAACAACCGGCCCCGGCUGGUCAGUGCCCGCCAGAGAACCGAAAACUCUGAAUCAAAUGUCGUCUGAGUACUAUGUAAUAGUUAAAACUUUCAACAACGGAUCUCUUGGUUCUG
rnacentral:misc_RNA from 1 species